rnacentral:lncRNA from 1 species
AAGGUAAAAAAAAAAAAACAAUGAUACCAAAUAAUAGGGGUGGCAAUCCAGCUCGAUGUUCGCGAGCCAGCUCGUGUUCGACUCGAAAUGAGCUCGAGAUCGAAUCGCUCGUUUAGUAAACGAGCUGAAUACGAGCUAAAUUUUCCAGCUCGUUUAAUAAACGAGUCGAACACGGGCUCGGGUCAGCUCGCUUGUGUUUAGCUCGAUAACAGCUCGAAUACAUAUAUUUUAUAUUUAUAUAAUUUAUUUAAUUUAUAUUUUUAUAUAUAAAUAAAUAAUUAUAUAUAGUAUAUAUUUUUAUUAUUUAAUUUUUAGCAAAAUAAAAAUAUAAAU